GCCUCAUGGGAGAUGUGCAGAUUAUUUGAGGUCGUGGGUACCCGUGCUUUCAAGUGUGCUUAGGUGUGUGACCUUGUUGGCCAAAUGCGCCUAUUAUGUCUGGUAGAGUUUUCAGGGGGUGUCUCUGCCCUGGCAUAUUGGGUGAUGUGUGCUAAUCUGGUCACUUCGGGACGGUCCACCUCUGGGGUCUGUUUGUCAUGGGAGUAUCGUUU